UUUUACUUUCCUUACACACCUUGCACGUAAACUGUUUCUUCAAUAGUUUUACAUUCAAGAGGCCUAAUUACUUUCAAUUUAUACAAUAAUUCUUGCAUAAAUUCCCUUUUAUAGCAUUUUUCAUUACUUUCACAGACAGUCUUUGACAUGGCUCAACUUUCUGACUUGUAAACAUCCCUUUCUUGAAACAACCAAUUAAUCUAUUUUAGGACAAGAAGUUACCACAUAACAUUUCUUUUACAUAAAUUCUCUCCUCCCCCCCUUUUUUUUGGUCAAAGAUGAUAACUGUUCUUUUCCAAAGUGAACUUCCUUCAUGUCCAUGGACUAGAUUGCCUAAGGCCACAAGAUUGAAAGUUAGGAUAAUACAUGUUACACUGUUAAUUUUUAGCUAACUUUAUUUUUGUUGAAAACCUUGUAAGUUUGGGAUUUUUAUUAUCCUUUGCUAUUAAUAAGACUUCAUUUGGUCUAAAUUUUUUUCCCAAAGUAUAAGCCACUUCAAAGGCAUACUUAGAACUGGUGUAGAUGGUUCUUCCCUGGUUCUGUGAGUACUUUAAGGCUUGGCUGAGUGCAAACAGCUCACACGUUUGAGCAGACCAAUUAUUAUACAAUUUUCCUAACUCUAUUUUUACAAGAGUUUCCCAAUCAAUUACUGAAUACCCAUUCUUUCUUUUUCCCUCAAUCACCCAUGUGGCACCACCUAUAAAUAAGUGUUGUCCCAUCCUGAAGGAAGUUCCUCUUAGGUCUGGUUGGGCCUUUGUAAGGUAAUUAAUUAAGAUUUAGAUCCCCUGUUAGGAAACCUGCUGCAUUAAGUGAAUUAUCAGUGGCUAACGUGAAAUCACACUUUUCUAACAGAAUAGCAUCAUACUUCAAGAUUCUUUUUUUUGUUUUAACUUUUCCAAAACUCUUUACUAAAUAUGCCUCAGAUUACCACACUUAAUGCCCUUCAUUGUUUAAAAAUAAAAUACUUCAAGAUUCUUGAGUCAGUAAGCUACCUUUUUGCUUUUUUUGACUUAGGAUAGUUCUGAAUUGGUAAGGUGUGCUCACAAUGAGGUUUCCUCUAAAAGUUAUUUUUCUACUUUCUUCUGUUAGCAAAGCAGUUGCAACUAAAGACUGAAAGCAUUUGGACCAUCUGCAGGUUACUAGGUUAAGAAUUUUUGAUAGGAAGGCUACGGGCUGUCAGUGCUUUUGGGUAUUUCUAAGGCUACGCCCUUGUUUACACUGAAAACAAGAUGGAAUGGCUGUUUCAGGAAGGUAAAGCUGGGACAGGGGCAGUUACUAAUAGAUGUUUUGACUUUUCCACCUGUUGGAUUUCUGGUAUUUGGCAAAUGACGGUGUUUGGCCCAUCUUGUGUGAGGUUUUUUUAAUAAGGGUUUUGUUUUUAGGGCAUAAGAGUCUAUCCAUAGAUGACAGUUUCCAACUAAUCUUGAAAUUUUCUAAGUGCUUGUUUAGUCUCUAGCAGAGGCAUGGAUAUGAUGCCUUCAAUCUGUUCAAGCUUAAUUUACUGUUUACCUUUGGUAAUUAAAUGACUUGUUCUAAUAUUUGACUAAAUAAAUUUGGAGACUCUGUAAACCCUUGGGGUAAGAUUGUCUAUGGGUAUUGGCUAUUUUCAACUGGAGUGAGGGUCUUCUCACUCAAAGGCAAAUAGGUCCUGGCUCUCCUCUGCCAAUGGACAAGCCCAGAAGGCAUUUAAAAAAUCUAUUAUCGUAACAACAGGGUGGGUCAUUUGAACUGUCUGAUUAAUACCUCUAAGGUCUUGCACUUACUGGUGUGACCCAUCUGGCUUCUUUACAGGCAGUAUUGGAGUGUUAUAGGGUCACGAAGAAGGCCUUCAAUGAUCACUUACAGGUUUUAAAUUUACCCCGGCUUUUAAAGGAAUAGGGUACAUUGCUUUCACUUUACUACUCUCUCUCUCUCUGUCUCUCUAUUUUUUUUAUCCUUCUAAUAUUUUAACAUUAGGCCUAGGGGAUUAUUAGGGGGAAUAUUAUUGUUGUUAGCUUUAUCCUUCACCUUACUUGGGGUAUUUUCCGUUUGGGGGGUUAGGCUCAAUUUCCCUUACCAGAAAUGUUUCACAUUUUGGGGUGAGGCUCAAUUCCCUUACUGGAAAUACCUUGCCUUUUUGGGUGAGGCUCAAUUUCCCUUACUAGAAAUGUCUCACCUCUUUUUCAUCCCCAAGAUAUCCUGACUAAGGAAUACUUCAUUGCCCCCCAUGGCUUUUCUUUCCUUAGUCCCAACUAAGGAAUGCCUUACCACCCCUGUAGCUUUUCUUUCCUUGGUAUGUCCCAACCAAGGAAUGCUUCAUUGCCCCUGCGUUUUUUCUUUCCUUAGUCCUGACCACCAAGGAAAUACUUUACCAUUUCCUCCAGUGUUUCCUUCCUUGGCUUGUGCAGGAAGUUGUCUGGUCCACGAGGUACGUGAGGAUCCUUUACUCCAGGUCACCAGCCCGUUUCUUUCCGCCUUGCUGAGAGUUCGGGUUUAUUCAACACAGCAGGGUUUCAGUUCCUCACCCCUGAGGUCACCACAAUGAGGCAGCAGGGCGCCUCCUUAUGAGAGAAGACUGGAGACCACCCCCAGAGGAGAAUAGGUCCCCGUACGGGCCACCAAAUUGUUAGAAAUGCAAAAUACUUGUUCCCUGGUCCUGCAAAGAAAUAGCGCUUGAAUAUAAAUUUAAUUUUCUCAGCAAGACAAUUUUUAUCUUCUGCAGAAAGAGUGCUCCUUGCAGGUGGAACAAUGGCGAGAGCACACCCGUACUGAGGAGGGGACGAGGUUCUUAUUCCUGAUGCAGGAGUGAGCCUCUGUUCUCAUUGAAAGUUGUGCCCUUGGAACUCAGCCUGGGAGGUGAAAGACACCAUGUAGAAGACACUCAAUGCAGUUGUGGACUCAGAUACAUUCACCAAGGCAGGAAAAACCUGAUAAAAGAGUUGUAAGUCACUGCACUGAAAAUAAAACAUUACUGAGAAAAUAGAAUAAAACUCAAUAAGUUGGGAGCACAACCAUAUUCAUGAAUUUAAAAAUUCAAUGCAUGAAGCUUGCUCUGCUUGGCUCCCUGCCUCCGCACCACAGCCCCUGCGGUAGCCGCCUCGGAGCCCGCCGCUACUGCCUCUGAGCAGAAGAUGGCUGUGCCACCCAUGUAUGCUGAUCUUGGCAAAUCUGCCAGGGAUGUCUUCACCAAGGGCUAUGGAUUUGGCGUAAUAAAGCUUGAUUUGAAAACGAAAUCUGAGAAUGGACUGGAAUUUACAAGCUCCGGCUCAGCCAACACUGAGACCACCAAAGUGACCGGCAGCCUGGAAACCAAGUACAGAUGGACUGAGUGCGGCCUUACGUUUACAAAGAAAUGGAACACCAACAAUACACUAGGCACCGAGAUUACUGUGGAAGAUCAGCUUGCACGUGAACUGAAGCUGACCUUCGAUUCAUACUUCUUACCUAACACUGGGAAGAAAAAUGCUAAAAUCAAGACAGGGUACAAGCGGGAGCACAUUAACCUGAGCUGCGACAUGGAUUUCGACAUUACUGGGCCUUCCAUCCGGGGUGCUCUGGUGCUGGGUUAGGAGGACUGGCUGGCCGGCUACCAGAUGAAUUUUGAGACUGCAACAUCCCGAGUAACCCAGAGCAACUCUGCAGUUCCUACAAGACUGCUAAUUCCAGCUUCACACUAAUGUGAAUGACAGGACAGAGUUUGGCGGCUCCAUUUACCAGAAAGUGAACAAGAAGUUGGAGACCGCUGUCAAUCUCGCCUGGACAGCAGGAAACAGUAACAGGCGCUUCGGAAUAGCAGCCAAUUAUCAGAUUGACCCUGACCCCUGCUUCUCGGCUAAAGUGAACAACUCCAGCCUGAUAGGUUUAGGAUACACUCAGACUCUAAAGCCAGGUAUCAAACUGACACCGUCAGCUCUUCUGGAUGGCAAGAAUGUCAAUGCUGGUGGUCACAAGCUUGAUCUAGGACUGGAAUUUCAAGCAUAAAUGAAUACUGUACAAUUGUUUAAUUUUAAACUAUUUUGCAGCAUAGCUACCUUCAGAAUUUAGUAUAUCUUUUAAUGUUGUAUGUCUGGGAUGCAAGUAUUGCUAAAUAUGUUAGCCCUCCAGAUUAAAGAUGAUUCAGCUUUAAGAUGUUACCUUUCCAGAGGGACAGAUAAAAUCCAUUUCCAAAAAAGGUCCUUUCAGUGGUAGACUUGAGGGGGAACUUGGUGGCCCCUUUGAGAUGCCAGGUUUCUUUUUUAUCUAGAAAUGGCUGCAAGUGGAAGCUGAUAAUAUGUAGGCACUUUGUAAAUUCAUAUUGAGUAAAUGAAUGAAAUUGUGCUUUCCUGAGAAUAGAACCUUGGUUUCCUAACCCUGAUUGAUGAGAGGCUCGCUGCUUGAUGGUGUGUAGAAACUCACCUGAAUGGGACUUUUUUAGACAGAUCUUCAUGACCUGUUCCCACCCCAGUUCAUCAUUACCUCUUUUACACCAAAAGGUCUGCAGGGUGUGGUCACUGUUUCUUUUGUACCAUUUUGGAGUGGAGAAGGUGGAUGUGAUGAAGCCAACAAUUCAGGACUUAGUCCUUCCUGUGUUGUUGUUGUUGUUGUUGUUGUUGUUUUUUGCCCUUGCACCAGAGUAUGAAAUAGCUUCCAGGAGCUCCAGCUAUGAGCUUGGAAGUGUCUGUGUGAUUGAAUCACAUGGUGACAACACUCAGAAUCUAAAUUGGACUUCUGUUGUAUUCUCACCACUCAAUUUGUUUUUUAGCAGUUUAAUGGGUACAUUUUAGAGUCUUCCAUUAUGUGUGAAAUUUGAUCCUCCAAAUGCUGUAAUUAAUGUCACUUAAAAAAAACUUGAAUAAAAUAUUGAAACCUAAAAAAAAAAAUUCAAUGCA